CAACCUGCCGUCUACUCUUGGACAGCCUUCUGAAAGGAAGAUUAAUACAAGAUGGCAUCAUGAGUCCGCAUGUUCACAUGAUUAAAGGUAUUCCGGUAGACGAUGGGGAUGCGUUCCAUUAGAUAGUAGGCGGGGUAACGGCCCACCUAGUCUUCGAUGGAUAGGGGUUCUGAGAGGAAGGUCCCCCACAUUGGAACUGAGACACGGUCCAAACUCCUACGGGAGGCAGCAGUGAGGAAUAUUGGUCAAUGGGCGAGAGCCUGAACCAGCCAAGUAGCGUGAAGGAUGACUGCCCUAUGGGUUGUAAACUUCUUUUAUAAAGGAAUAAAGUCGGGUAUGGAUACCCGUUUGCAUGUACUUUAUGAAUAAGGAUCGGCUAACUCCGUGCCAGCAGCCGCGGUAAUACGGAGGAUCCGAGCGUUAUCCGGAUUUAUAGGGUUUAAAGGGAGCGUAGAUGGAUGUUUAAGUCAGUUGUGAAAGUUUGCGGCUCAACCGUAAAAUUGCAGUUGAUACUGGAUAUCUUGAGUGCAGUUGAGGCAGGCGGAAUUCGUGGUGUAGCGGUGAAAUGCUUAGAUAUCACGAAGAACUCCGAUUG
rnacentral:rRNA from 1 species